AGUAGAGAUGAAUUAAAUGGGCAAAGGUGAAACGCAUACUAGCCAUGUUAGUCAAAUGCCUAAUAUGGAAACGGCGCCAAAAUUUGAUCACGCCCAACUCUAGUCCUAUAAAGGAUAAGCGGUCACUGCAAAUAUAUUCCGGUCUAAAAGUCCAGAGUCGAAUCCCACGGAUAACUAAGGCUUAGCUAUAUCUGUUUAAUAUCACUAAGAAGACAAGAUUGAACAAUUUUCUAAAUUAUAAAGAUUGAGAGUUAUAUUUCUAACUAAUUAACUGGAAAAUACUAGAAAACGGUAAAAUUAUCAACUAACUAGACUAAGGGUUGGAGACUAAAUUAAGGAGGUCUAGAGUUAUGAUUUUAUAAAUUGUCGGAAUCCUUCUAGCUAUGUUCUAUACAAUUUUCGACAAUGUAUUCUCUACCGAUCGUGAGCACUUUAGAUGUCAUAAUUCUCUCUCGAGCAACUACAAUAAUUUACUAGACAUAUUCUCUCUAACUAUGCUAGUUGGCUUUAUCUAAUCACUCAUUAUGACCACGUCAAGGCUUUGUUAUUUCUAAACCUGCCUUUAAACCCAAUAUAUUGAUUUCUCACAUAUGUUAGGAGUGACGUUGUUCAACAACUACCUAAAUAUGUACUCUCUCUGAAGAUGUACACACUAAAUAGGCACAGUCAAUUAAUGGUCAUUCAAUCAACAACAACAAACACGUAGUAGAACAAGUAGAGAAAUCCAAUCGCUCAAUUAUAUAAAAACAUAACAAGAAUUUAUCUUGCAAAAGGUUCUAUCAAAACCCUAGAAAAUGAAUUACUUAUUCAUAAAAGUAUGUAAAACUACAAUACUAAAAUCAUAACCAACAAUGAAAAAUAGAAAGAGGAAGAAAAAACUUGUUAAGGAAUUCCCCGCCUUGCUCCUAUUGUGUCUCUGCCUCCUGAGGCCGAAUCUUUGUUAAAAAUAUGUCCAACCCUUUAAUAUACCAUUUUUGUCACGACCCCAACCCCGGUCGUGAUGGCGCCCAACACACUUCUAGGCAUUCCCGACCAAUUUAAUAACUAAAACCCUUUUUAUACAAUUCAUGAAUUAAUUAACACAGAUAAAUUACUAGGUCAUAAUACCAAAAGUCUGAAAUAAAACUAAAACAUGCAAAAUCCCAAGUAAUAAAAACAACUACACAACCCAAAAAAUCUAAUGUCACAAGUCUGAGCCUCUAAUACCUGAGUAUCAAUCUACUACAUAUCGUUCUAAAGAAAUGUGGAAAUAAAGCAAAUAAGGUAGAAGGAAGAUCAAAACUGCGAACGUCAUGCAGCUACCUUGAUGCUCCCGAAUAAACUGCUUGAUAGAGAAAUCUUCACUUAGCCUCAGGUGUACUUUGGAUAUACUCGC
rnacentral:lncRNA from 1 species